AAUAGAUACCCGGGUAGUCCACGCCGUAAACGAUGAGUGCUAAGUGUUAGAGGGUUUCCGCCCUUUAGUGCUGCAGCAAACGCAUUAAGCACUCCGCCUGGGGAGUACGGUCGCAAGACUGAAACUCAAAGGAAUUGACGGGGGCCCGCACAAGCGGUGGAGCAUGUGGUUUAAUUCGAAGCAACGCGAAGAACCUUACCAGGUCUUGACAUCCUCUGACAACCCUAGAGAUAGGGCUUCCCCUUCGGGGGCAGAGUGACAGGUGGUGCAUGGUUGUCGUCAGCUCGUGUCGUGAGAUGUUGGGUUAAGUCCCGCAACGAGCGCAACCCUUGAUCUUAGUUGCCAGCAUUCAGUUGGGCACUCUAAGGUGACUGCCGGUGACAAACCGGAGGAAGGUGGGGAUGACGUCAAAUCAUCAUGCCCCUUAUGACCUGGGCUACACACGUGCUACAAUGGGCAGAACAAAGGGCAGCGAAGCCGCGAGGCUAAGCCAAUCCCACAAAUCUGUUCUCAGUUCGGAUCGC
rnacentral:rRNA from 1 species